rnacentral:rRNA from 1 species
ACGCGAAAGGGGCUUCGGCCCUGAGUAGAGUGGCAAACGGGUGAGUAACACGUGGGUGACCCGCCUUCGAGUGGGGGAUAACGUCCCGAAAGGGACGCUAAUACCGCAUGACAUCCUGCUUUUGGAAAAGCGGAGAUCAAAGCUGGGGAUCGCAAGACCUGGCGCUUGAAGAGGGGCCCGCGCCUGAUUAGCUAGUUGGUGGGGUAACGGCCUACCAAGGCAACGAUCAGUAUCCGGCCUGAGAGGGCGGACGGACACACUGGGACUGAGACACGGCCCAGACUCCUACGGGAGGCAGCAGUGGGGAAUUGUUCGCAAUGGGCGCAAGCCUGACGACGCAACGCCGCGUGGAGGAUGAAGAUCUUCGGGUCGUAAACUCCUGUCGAGCGGGACGAAUUGCUUCGGAGUGAAUAGCUCCGGAGUUUGACGGUACCGCUAAAGGAAGCCCCGGCUAACUCCGUGCCAGCAGCCGCGGUAAUACGGGGGGGGCAAGCGUUG